rnacentral:rRNA from 1 species
GAUGAACGCUGGCGGCGUGCCUAACACAUGCAAGUCGAACGGAGUCCAGCCUUUAAGACCUUCGGGUCAAAGAGGGGAAGACUGAGUGGCGGACGGGUGAGUAACACGUGGGCAACCUGGCUCAUAGAGGGGGAUAACAGAGAGAAAUUUCUGCUAAUACCGCAUAGCACACACUGCCGCAUGGCAGAGGGUGAAAAGAGAAUCGCUAUGAGAUGGACCCGCGUCUGAUUAGCCAGUUGGCAGGGUAAGAGCCUACCAAAGCGACGAUCAGUAGCCGAUCGGAGAGGAGGAACGGCAACAUUGGGACUGGGACACGGCCCAAACUCCUACGGGAGGCAGCAGUGGGGGAUAUGGAAAAAUGGGGGAACCCUGAUGCAGCGACGCCGCGUGAGUGAAGAAGUAUUUCGGUAUGUAAAGCUCUAUCAGCAGGGAAGAUAAUGACAGUACCUGAAUAAGAAGCCCCGGCUAACUACGUG